GAUGAAGAACGUAGCGAAAUGCGAUAAGUAAUGUGAAUUGCAGAAUUCAGUGAAUCAUCGAAUCUUUGAACGCACAUUGCGCCCGCCAGUAUUCUGGCGGGCAUGCCUGUUCGAGCGUCAUUUCAACCAUCAAGCCCUGCUUGCGUUGGGGUCCUGCGGCUGCCCGCAGGCCCUGAAAACCAGUGGCGGGCUCGCUAGUCACACCGAGCGCAGUAAUACAUCUCGCUUUGGGCGUGCGGCGGGUUCUUGCCGUUAAACACCCCCUUUUUACCAAGGUUGACCUCGGAUCAGGUAGGAAUACCCGCUGAACUUAAGCAUAUCAAUAAGCGGAGUA
rnacentral:misc_RNA from 1 species